rnacentral:rRNA from 1 species
GCCUGAGAGGUGAUGCGUAGCCGAUUGAGGUGAAUUCAGUGAUCCUAUGCUGCCGAGAAAAGCCUCUAGUGAGUUGGUACACGGCCCGUACCCCAAACCGACACAGGUGGUCAGGUAGAGAAUACCGAGGCGAUCGAGAGAACUGUGGUUAAGGAACUCGGCAAAAUGCCCCCGUAACUUCGGGAGAAGGGGGACCUGAUCUGGUGACCGGUCUUGCACCGUGAGCUGGGUUGGGUCGCAGAGACCAGAGAGAAGCGACUGUUUACUAAAAACACAGGUCCGUGCGAAGUCGUAAGACGAUGUAUACGGACUGACGCCUGCCCGGUGCCGGAAGGUUAAGAGGACCGGUUAGCGCUUCGGCGCGAAGCUGAGAAUUUAAGCCCCGGUAAACGGCGGUGGUAACUAUAACCAUCCUAAGGUAGCGAAAUUCCUUGUCGGGUAAGUUCCGACCUGCACGAAUGGCGUAACGACUUCUCUGCUGUCUCAACCACAGACUCGGCGAAAUUGCAUUACGAGUAAAGAUGCUCGUUACGCGCGGCAGGACGAAAAGACCCCGGGACCUUCACUAUAGCUUGGUAUUGGUGUUCGGUACGGUUUGUGUAGGAUAGGUGGGAGACUGUGAAAGCCACACGCCAGUGUGGUGGGAGUCGUCGUUGAAAUACCACUCUGAUCGUAUUGGACUUCUAACCUCGGGCCAUGAUCUGGUUCAGGGACAGUGCCUGGUGGGUAGUUUAACUGGGGCGGUUGCCUCCUAAAGUGUAACGGAGGCGCCCAAAGGUUCCCUCAGCCUGGUUGGCAAUCAGGUGUCGAGUGCAAGUGCACAAGGGAGCUUGACUGUGAGACUGACGGGUCGAGCAGGGACGAAAGUCGGGACUAGUGAUCCGGCACCGGCAUGUGGAAGCGGUGUCGCUCAACGGAUAAAAGGUACCCCGGGGAUAACAGGCUGAUCUUCCCCAAGAGUCCAUAUCGACGGGAUGGUUUGGCACCUCGAUGUCGGCUCGUCGCAUCCUGGGGCUGGAGUAGGUCCCAAGGGUUGGGCUGUUCGCCCAUUAAAGCGGCACGCGAGCUGGGUUUAGAACGUCGUGAGACAGUUCGGUCUCUAUCCGCCGCGCGCGUCAGAAACUUGAGGAAGGCUGUCCCUAGUACGAGAGGACCGGGACGGACGAACCUCUGGUGUGCCAGUUGUCCUGCCAAGGGCACUGCUGGUUAGCUACGUUCGGAAGGGAUAACCGCUGAAAGCAUCUAAGCGGGAAGCCUGUUCCAAGAUGAGGUUUCUCACCCCCUCGAGGGGGUAAGGCCCCCCACAGACCAUGGGGUUGAUAGGCCAGAACUGGAAGCGCGGUAACGUGUGGAGGUGACUGGUACUAAUCGGCCGAGGACUUACCAAC